rnacentral:rRNA from 1 species
GAUGAACGCUGACAGAAUGCUUAACACAUGCAAGUCUACUUGAUUCUACUUCGGUAGUUGAUGGUGGCGGACGGGUGAGUAACGCGUAAAGAAUCUGCCCUUUAGUUCGGGAUAACCUUUGGAAACGAAGGAUAAUACCGGAUAUUACGGAGACGUCGCAUGACGAUUUCAUGAAAGCUAUAUGCGCUAGAGGAGGACUUUGCGUCCCAUUAGUUAGUUGGUGAGGUAAUGGCUCACCAAGACCGCGAUGGGUAGCCGGACUGAGAGGGUGAUCGGCCACAAGGGAACUGAGACACGGUCCUUACUCCUACGGGAGGCAGCAGUGGGGAAUAUUGGACAAUGGGCCACAAGCCUGAUCCAGCAAUUCUGUGUGCACGAUGAAGGUCUUCGGAUUGUAAAGUGCUUUCAGUAGGGAAGAAAAAAAUGACGGUACCUACAGAAGAAGCGACGGCUAAAUAUGUGCCAGCAGCCGCAGUAAUAC